AUUGAACGCUGGCGGCAGGCCUAACACAUGCAAGUCGAACGGUAACAGGAAGCAGCUUGCUGCUUCGCUGACGAGUGGCGGACGGGUGAGUAAUGUCUGGGAAGCUGCCUGAUGGAGGGGGAUAACUACUGGAAACGGUAGCUACUACCGCAUAAUGUCGCAAGACCAAAGAGGGGGACCUUCGGGCCUCUUGCCAUCGGAUGUGCCCAGAUGGUAUUAGCUUGUUGGUGGGGUAACGGCUCACCAAGGAGACGAUACCCAGCUGGUCUGAGAGGAUGACCAGCCACACUGGGACUGAGACACGGUCCAGACUCCUGCGAGAGGCAGCAGUGGGGAAUAUUGGACAAUGGGCGCGAGCCUGAUGCAGCCAUGCCGCGUGUAUGAAGAAGGCCUUCGGGUUGUAAAGUACUUUCAGCGGGGAGGAAGGGAGUAAAGUUAAUACCUUUGCUCAUUGACGUUACCCGCAGAAGAAGCACCGGCUAACUCCGUG
rnacentral:rRNA from 1 species